CUGAAUGUAAGGACCGUCCCUCACUGACAGAUCCUUCUGAAGCUAAGCACUUAAGUGACCACAUUUCUAGAGUGGAGUGUGGCUACUGCUGAUGGAACUGUGGCACCAAUGUCCGCUUGAUGGGGAAUUCUGAAUAAGCUUCUCAGGGUUAGGAAGAUGAAUACCUGCAGUUCAUGAAGGGAACAUCUUAUCAAGGAAAACUCCACAAGAGGUUCCUAGGCUGCUGGCCUAGUGCUGCUGAAUCCCAGGAGAUAAACCUUAGCUACAUCUUAGACCCACUGCAGAGCAUCUGCAAUUAGAGAAAGUUGAGUAGUGGGUUGAGGUGAGUGGAAUCCUGUGGAACACCAGUAUCUGGAUGAGCCAAGGAAGCGAUGAGGGAGACUCAAGAGAAAAUGUGAGAGCUGGAGAAACCAGAAGAGUUUGAGUAGAAAAUUUGCAGAAAUAACAGUCGGUGUCAAAUGCGCCAG
rnacentral:lncRNA from 1 species